GCCAAACUCUGGGCAUCUCACAGGGAGAGACAAUGCCAAGCUCACCACUAUUACUCCACCUUUGCACAAAGAUCAGGAGGCCAUCUGUUGAGAUGAGAACCUGUGAAGAUGGAAGGAACCUAGAUGUUUGAGUCAUGGGGUGGAGAAGAGACCAUGUAAACCUACAUUGAAAUUUGUGUGACUCCCUCCCCCUCAACCAGCUUAGAAGUCGGGUGGAAGAGGAAGCUGGAUGGAACAACAUGAGCCCUGGUCAGGGCAGACUUAAGCCAGGAGAUGAAGUGCCAUAUACAGAGAAAACCUCAGUGGGAUCCCAGAUGGAGCACAAUUCCUGGCUGAGCAGAGUCCCUGAGGCCGAGAAAACGAGCACAGUGCUGACUGCUUGGAAUCCGGUAAUAUUUCCCUUCAGGCUGCUGCUCUGACUGGCUUUUCAGAAGAGUGUUGCUUCUAAUAGAAAAUUCCUUAUUUUCACCUGUGAAGAAAUCUGAUUUGGACAGUGAGUAUCUUUUGUCUUCUGAAAUGCUAAUUUUUACAACAUUGAGACAGCAGCUGCAGACGUGGAUUUGACAGUCCACCUCCCUUCUACAGCACAGCUGAGUAAAGAGAGUAUGACUUGAGCAUGUAGGUAAGACAGUUUUCAUCCUUAACCAUCACAGCUGGAGAGAUCUUGAUCUUCAUGGUGCUCCCUCCAUACAUUCUAUAGACUUAAUUUUUGGUAGGUACAGUGUGAUGUGUAACUUUUCCAAGAUCAGAGAAUAUCAGGGAGAAUAUCAUAGGCACCAUCUGUCUGUUUUUCAGAGAUAUCCAAACUAUGGCCCAGUGAUUUAUUAUGUAUUAAUUCAACAAUGGCAACAGCACCAUUCUGCCAAACCUUAAUUACUCUCUAUUUGAGGUUGGAUGAAGUCAGAGCUUUGGUUCUAGCCAGUACUCGGUUUAACUGCUCAGAUCUGAGCAUCAAGAUUUUAUGAAACCCCAUCUCUAUUGAAUUUACAAAAAAAAAAAAAAA
ensembl:lncRNA LINC01182 long intergenic non-protein coding RNA 1182